GCCGCCGCCACCUUGACCAACGGCCCCCGCAUCGCCGUCCACAGCCACGCAUCUGCCAUCCCCGGGUUCCCCUCCGCGGUUCCCUCAUCCGGCUUCGCCGAGUCGUCGCGCAUCUUCGUCCUCCCCUCCGUGGCGUCCUUCGCCGGUCUACCCUCCCCGAUGCGGUCUGCACCUACGGACUCCCCUCCUCCGUCAGCAGCUCCAGUCGCCACCCCCGCAGUGGAAUGAAUCACUCCCACGAGAUGGAGGGAGGCACGCCGUCGACCAUGGCAUCAGGGGCGGCCCAGAAGACUUCAAGUUAGUUGGUUCCUCUCCCCGAUGGAACACGCACAUGCGCGCGCGCACACACACAAAGGACGGGAAGGAGGAUAAACGGCAGCACAGGUGGGUUGGUCAUGCUUAUUGGGUUAGGGCCGUGUGAUGUUUUCUUUUCGUCAGGCAUGUUUGCUAGUAAUUUUAAAGUGUACCAAGAAAAAGAAGAGAAGACAAAACGAAUAAAAUCACUUUUGUUUUGCGAAAAGAACAAAAGCGCUUUCGUGGUUUACACCUUAGUGUUUUGGGCCAACUGAAAUGUAGAAGCAGAGCUAGGACGACGACCUGGCCAGUAGUGGUGUACAGUGUGCACGGCUAAGGGUAGGGGUGCGUGAGACUAGCGGCUUCGCCAUUCCUGAUGGUUGGUGGUCUGUUUCUGGCAUAAGAGUGAGUCGGUGAGGCCAGUCUCAGCGCCGCCAGUCUCAGCGCCCUGCCGAUCAUCAUCAUUAUUUAUUUUGAUUACUCAUCACAGACGGCUUUAGACAGCCGUGCGAUCCAAAUGUUCAUAUGACAGACAACGCCAAAAUAGUCUAUGAUGACUGGUCCGAGCCGUCUGCGAUGAGGUUCCAUAGGGUAACACUUUAGAUCACCACCUAUGAGACUUCACUCAUGGCAUUGAUCCUAAGUCUUGGUCGAGACAUACAGAGAGGUAAGAGUUUAGUGUUCAAUAACACUCUGCAUGACUGCAUCACAUAUCAACUAACCAGACUGCUGACCCUGUAUAAACUAGCAUGAAUCUGACAUAAUAAAAGUACAUUUAGGCGGAGUUGCUGGGCCUAGGCCCAGAAGACCCCCUCUCCGUUUUUUAUUUCGAACAUUGACCCCUGAAUUCCUAGACCCUGAACUGAGACACUCGGCGGUACAAGUGCACCAGCCUUUGAGAUACUCACCUUCCUGUGAGGGAAGUGGAGGUGAUGAGCUGUCCUCCCGUGAAGAGCACACCAACCUGCGGCAGCUCCAUCUCCUGCUGCAUGCCUGACAGUGGCCAAACAAAGGCAGGCCUCUCAAAUGGGGGAGUCGGGGCAGGCGCUCCACCGAUUAGCACCUGCACCGCCGUCCGCAUGGACGGUCGAUCCCUCGGGUUCGGGUGGCAGCAAGCCAAGGCCAGCCGCACCACAGAAUCCGCCUGCAUCUCGUCAUACACUCCUCCAAGCACCGCGUCGGCUGUUUCCAUGACUUUCCCCAGGCUGUAAUGCCUCCAGACCCAAUCCACAAUGUGUAUUUCUUGUGUGUCAUAUAGCAUGGACCUGCUUGGGCUCUUCCCGCUGACAACCUCCAUGGCAAAGACGCCGAAGGCGUACACGUCCGUGUCGAGGCUGGCACGACCGGUGAAGAAGCUCUCGUGCGCCAUGUAGCCCCGUGUGCCAGCAACCGCCUGCGUCGAGUGGUGUGUCGCUCCGUCGAGCUGGAUGGCACGGGCGAGGCCGAAGUCGCCCAGCCGCGCGUUGUAUGCCUCGUCGAGCAUCACAUUGCUGGGCUUGACGUCCCUGUGGAGGAUCCUCUUGCUGCUCCCGUGGUGAAGGUAGUCGAGUGCAGAUGCCACACCACAGAUUAUCCUGUAUCGCCGCUCCCAUGUGAGCGCCGAUGACGAGUACGUGGUCGUCGUGGCAUUGGCGAACAAUAGCUUGUCCAGGCUGCCCAUGGGGAAGUAGUCGUAGGCGAGGAGUAGUUCGCCUCCCUCGUGGCACCAGCCGAUCAGCUUGACAAGGUUGCGGUGGGAGAGCUUGCUGAUCGUGUUCACCUCCGCCACGAACUCCUUCUCUCCUCGGCUUGAGAGUGAGACCCGCUUCACAGCCACCUCUCUGUUGAUCCCAUUCAGGUAUCCAAGGUAAACAGUGCCGCCGCCACCUCUACCGAGCUUACGGUGAGGGCUGAAGUUGGCGGUCGCGUGCUUCAACUCCUUGAGCUUAAAUCUAACCGGGCCAUGUGCGUCGAUCAUUUUCUCGAGCGUGCGGUAGGCUAGCCUUCUCCGCUGUGUCACCCUUCUCCGCACCAACAACACAAGAAACGAUGAACAUGUAAUGAGCAAAACCAAGGCAAUGAGAACCAAAAACACCCACUUCCCAUGUCUUGUUCUUUCAGCGACGAGUAUGUCGUCUAUCGUGGUGAAGUUCCACGAUUUUAUCUGGUUCAGUUGGGUGUAAUCACCCGUGGAACCUGCAAAUCCCAGAUAUAUUUCGUCCAGUAGGUACCGUGAUAGAUCAACCGGCCAGCUCUCUCGCCAAUUAUGCCCCCCACUGCCACUUGUGUUGCGCUGGCUUACAGAUAAUACAAAAGCAUUUGAUGUGCUGUUGUAGAUGAUACUAACCAAGACAUCCGAGCCGCUUGACAGGAUGAUCGAAAGAUUGCUGAGCGGGUACGGAUAAACAGAUUUGAUGCUGUUCAAGUCGAGCCCGACAUGGUUGCCGUCGAGGUCGUCAUGGUAGCUCUUUCUCGUGUCGAAUUCCACGGCUACUAUUUGGUUCGUUGGCGCGCCAUCUGUCUGGUUGUUGCAUAUGCCGAGCCACUGGCCGCCGCUGUUCCUGGGCAACGACAGGCUAUUUGUGAGUAUGAAAGCCAUACCUUCUCCCGGGAGGAUGUUGAGCGUGAACUGCGUCCUGAAAGAUGUGAGCACAGUUCGCUUCCUGUUCCACAGCUUGAGGGUUUCCUUUACGUAUACCACCCUUCCCGACUGGUGGCUCGAGUUUCCGGUGUUCGGCACGAUUCUCAGGGAACCAUUUGCAAUUGCUGAACCUGGGCUGAAGCUGAAAUCAUUCUUGUUGGUCAUGUCGAAGCUGGGGUAGUUAAAUUGCAGGCAACUGCAGGUUCUGCCUUGGAUGGCAAGGCCUGCAGAGGCUACUAUGAAGGAAAGGCUCAAGAUCAUGCUACGGGGCGUUGUCAUGGCCAAAAUGGUGCUUGGAUUUCUGCAAUCUCACCAAGACAAUAUAACACAGUAUGUGAGUUCAUAUCCUCCACAUAUUUCAAGAUACUACUAAGCCUUCAAGUAUCGAAGGGAGGAAGACUUGGAAUAGUCAUAGUCAAUGGAAAAGAUCGCCAUCGGCAAGGCCCCUGUCAGUAUCUGUUUCUUUGAUAUAGAAAUACUUAUUAUUGAUUUCCUGGCAUAGUUGGCACGGUGAACCAAAUCCGAGGUCCAAUCAGAGUCAAAACCUUGGUAUUCUAGAAAACAUUUUUUCAGUAUUCUAGAAAAGAGAGUCAAAACCUUGGAUUUGUCUUGUUUGAAACUCUUUUCUGUGAUCUGGCAUGUUUAAUUUGUGAGGCGAAUGUUUGACCUCGGCGCAAGUGGAAGAAAUCCAGAGGCUCUUCCCUGGCUAAACGGUGAUGCAUCAGUGUUUGCCUCAAGUCCGAAGAUGAAUGCCUUCAUGUUUUGACCGAAGUCCAAAGUGGUAUUUGAUCAAAUAAAGCAUGGCAGGUCACCCCUUCGUACCUGUAUGGUUUAUUCCCGUCUGAUGCUUGUCUUUGGACAUUUGGCUGAGUGACUAGAACUAGACGAGGUAAGGGCGGCGUGAGCUGCACGGCCAUUUGCGCUGAAAAUUAAGUGGGCGCUGGUUCAGCAAGCAAAGACCCAAUGUGUCAGUCUAUUUCAAAAAGAAGAGGUGCUGUUGGUUCAGUAAGCAAACACCCAAGAGGUCCCUGUCUAUUUGAGAAAAAGGAAAGUGCAACAAAAAUGUCAAACAUCGCGUGCGUGGACUGGAUUAAUCUUCUGGCGUGCAUCCUGGCAUUUACCUCAAAUUUUGACCAGGAUGUAUCAUGUAUGACUUUGUUAAACAGCAAUGUCCAGAAACAGAUCAUGAACGGCGUUAACAGAGUUUCGGAGCACAAAUUCAUUGCUGUUCAUCUGCUUUUUUAUUGUUUUUAUUAUUUUUUCCCAAGGAAGAAGGAUUAGUAAAUGUUGCUGUUUUCUACUGGGAAAUUCAUUCAUCUGCUUGAUCAUUCGUGUGCCGAGGUGACGGGCAUAGAAGAUGCAGAGUUCAGAGUUGGGUCAGAGUUCAGCAUAGAUGGCUUCCUUUCAAUAUUGUUUACCUAGCACUUACCAUGUGGUUGAUGGAUGCAUGCAUCGCCUAGAUGCAGAGGCCGGGGGUCAUCCUCCUCUAAAAAAUGUGGUUGAUGGAUGUAUACAUACAUAUGCAGCACGGGAUCAAGGACAUGGAGUACAGCACAAGGGUGAAGGAUGAAGAAGGCUACCCUGCCAUGUCACUCGUCAACAAGACCACCGCAGAGGCUCUCAAGCACUCCUUCAGCUAAUCGGCCAAUACCACCUUUAAUACAUGUUGAUUUGGCUCUUGUCCCGACAUACCUUUGUUUUUGCGGAGGGUUGGCGGAUUUUGAGCCAGAUGUACCAUUCAUAACGCUGGUGAGCAUGGAUUGGGAAGAUGAAGAUGAUAGGUAGAGAAAGAAGAAGACGAAAAAGAGUGAUGAUUUUAAGGUAGAAAAAGUAGACAAUGCUUCUUGAUGUGCAUGAGGAUUCCAAACAUAUAUAUUUGAGACAAUUGGUGUUAAACCAGUGGAAUAUUUAUAUCUCAGUUGCAACGUGCGGGCAAUUAUACGUAUAUCAUUAUAUGUUAUAUGCU